rnacentral:rRNA from 1 species
UGGUCACAUUAGAGGAAGUAAAAGUCGUAACAAGGUUUCCGUAGGUGAACCUGCGGAAGGAUCAUUAGUGAUUAAACUGUUGCCCUCUGUGCUGGCUCUGCAAGUGCACGUCGGUGACUUUCAUUCCAAUACCCUUGUGAACCUUUGGCCUCUUGCUAGCUUCGGCUGGCAGAGGAUUCUACAUACAAACUCGCAUGUAAUGAAACUCUUGUUGUGCACAAGCACUACUAUACAACUUUCAACAACGGAUCUCUUGGCUCUCGCAUCGAUGAAGAACGCAGCGAAAUGCGAUAAGUAAUGUGAAUUGCAGAAUUCAGUGAAUCAUCGAAUCUUUGAACGCACCUUGCACCCUUUGGCAUUCUGAAGGGUAUGCUCGUUUGAGUGUCAUUGUACUCUCACACUUCCGAUCUUGCAUUGGGAGCGGUGGACUUGGGUUUGCUGCCUUACCGUAGCUUACCUCAAAUGUGUUAGUGCAACUCUUGGUUGGACAUAGUACGGCGUGAUAAGUAUCUUCGCCGGUGCCUCGCAAUUGCGAGGGUGGCCGAUCGGGAUGUUGUGCUCCAAACCGUCUUCGGACAAUCUCUGACAACUUGACCUCAAAUCGAGUAAGACUACCCCGA